rnacentral:rRNA from 1 species
ACGCUCGACACCUCGAGGCAGCAGUAGGGAAUCUUCCACAAUGGACGCAAGUCUGAUGGAGCAACGCCGCGUGAGUGAAGAAGGUUUUCGGAUCGUAAAGCUCUGUUGUUGGUGAAGAAGGAUAGAGGUAGUAACUGGCCUUUAUUUGACGGUAAUCAACCAGAAAGUCACGGCUAACUACGUGCCAGCAGCCGCGGUAAUCUGAGCGGGCUGGCAAGGC